UCUUUGUGCUGAAAAACCAGCAGCUGGGGGGUUCCAGAACCUGAGGACCCCCAGCUCUGGGGAGGAGGCAGCGGCCCCACAGCAGGGCAGGGCAAGGGGACCCAGACAAGGUGGAGACAGAGCCGGGAGAAGCGCCCAAGGAACCCGGUGCGAGGUGCAGCGGGUGAUGCCGCCCUUCACGGGGACAGGCACAGGUGAGCCCAGCACAGCCACACAGCAGAGGCCACGAGGGCAGAACCAGGUAUUCCCACAGCAGAAUUGUCUAACCCUGUGGCAAUUAAAAUACCUGUUAUUUAAAAAAAAAAAAAAANAAAAAAAAAAAAAAAGAAGGCAAUUACACUGUAAUUACUUUGACACAAGACAUUAAGCAGAUUAUUAUCAAAGUGAGAUAAACAGUAACUUCAAAGCAAUUUCUCUCUAAGAAGACAUUCGCAGAGCUGGGGCCCUGCUUCCCCUCUCCCCCUGCCGAUGCCUCACCUCAGGAACCUCUGCUCCCCGACUCACCCCCCGGCGGGACCCAGGGGAGCUCUGGGCUGGGGCAGCCCCGCGGCACCCUCGGCAUCCUCCAUUGCCAUGGCGACAGAGCACUCAUCCAUCCUCCUCCAGCACCCAUUUUCCAGCUCAUUCUCUCUUCACUUCCCAUCACCUCCGCAACUGAUGUACGAGAGCAGCCGGGCACCUGCGGUGGCGAUCCGGCACGGGGCUGCCUGGUGGGGGAGGCGUGAAGGGAGCGGCAGGGUUCCCAGGCUGUUCUGCAGCAAACCGGAAUGGAAAAAUCAAGAAAAAAUAGGAAAAAAAAAUAAAACCACAAGGGAAGAUGGCUGUCGUGAGCAGGACUGUGUACGCACCCAGCUGUGCUGCCCAGUGGCCCUGGUUUCAGCAAUGGAAAGGUUCAGAAGAUGAGCUGACCCCGGUGGAGGCGCAGCGGGACGGCAGAGGGGGCAGGCAGCUCGCCAGCUCUGUGCGGGGUCGCUGCCACGAAAUGCGGCAAGAGCCAGCACCGGAGACUGGAGGGCAGCAGCCGGAACCGGCAGCUCGCAGAUACCGACAAAAAGAAAACAGCUCUACUAAUGGAAACUCCGCUUCCUUGUGCCUCAACGCCACUUGUUUGAUCAUUGAAGGGCAAGAAAAUAAAUGUUUCCUUGUAACUGUGGAUUUCAAAUUCCAAUGCAAAAUCCAGGCAAACACACCCCGGCCCCGGAGAGCGAGGUGUGGGUUUAACCCUGCGCUGCCCGGGCAGGGGAGCCGAGGCCAGGGGUGGCCCUGACAGCCCCCGUCGCUGCCAGCAGCCCCCGAGCUGCUGCCCCCCGAGCUGCUCCCACGCCCCUUUGUCUGUGCCCUGCUUUCUACACAGCGCAAAACACCCAACACGGCCCAGGGAAAUCGGCGCCGGGGCAGGGUGGCUGCGGGCAUGUGGUGCGUCAGACAGACAGACGGACAGACGGGACACACGACUGCCAUGCGCACAGCAGAGCUGGCAGCGUGCGGCCCCUCGCCUCCUCCGCCCGCCGCAGGCUGUGAGCAUUUUUAUGAAACUGUAUUUUAUUAAAUAAACAAA
ensembl:lncRNA